GGAAUAGCGUGGGGAGCAGCGGGGGUAAUGCGUAGGGUGGAAGCUGUAAUCGGAAGUUCGGGGCGUAAAGCUGGGUCAGGCGGUUUUGUAAGCCAGAUGUGAAAUCCCCGAGGUUAACUUGGGAACGGCGGUUGGAACUACAAGACUAGAGUGUGUCAGAGGGGGGUAGAAUUCCACGUGUAGCAGUGAAAUGCGUAGAGAUGUGGAGGAAUACCGAUGGCGAAGGCAGCCCCCUGGGAUAACACUGACGCUCAUGCACGAAAGCGUGGGGAGCAAACAGGAUUUGAUACCCUUGUAGUC
rnacentral:rRNA from 1 species